rnacentral:rRNA from 1 species
AUGAGCCGCCGCCGCCGCCAUUCCUCACCCGCGCCGGCGCUCCCGCUGGAGGACGAGGACCUCCUCCGCCUGCCUCGUCUGCAAGCGCUGGCGCGGCGUCCUCUCGGACCCCCGCUGCUUCCUCGCAGGCACCACCGGAGGCCCCCGCUCCUCGGCUUCAUGACUGGCAAGCCGCGGUGCUGUGUGCUGAUGCUGAUGUCAAAUGUGGUUCUUCUGGUUACGUUCGUGCUCCCACUUGAGUCAAUGCGGUUCAGAAGAAUUUCUGAAAGAAAUGGCUGGGAUAAAACCAUCCAUUAUGCCUACAGGAAUUUCUAUACUGCAGGGGAGCUGGGUGAAACUCUGAGCACGUGA